GACCCGUUAGCUCAGGCGGUAGAGCAACUGACUUUUAAUCAGUGGGUCGUAGGUUCAAUUCCUACACGGGUCACCA
rnacentral:tRNA from 1 species